AGUGAACGCUGGCGGUAGGCCCAACACAUGCAAGUCGAACGGCAGCACAGGAGAGCUUGCUCUCUGGGUGGCGAGUGGCGGACGGGUGAGGAAUACAUCGGAAUCUACUCUGUCGUGGGGGAUAACGUAGGGAAACUUACGCUAAUACCGCAUACGACCUACGGGUGAAAGCAGGGGACCUUCGGGCCUUGCGCGAUCGAAUGAGCCGAUGUCGGAGUAGCUAGUUGGCGGGGUAAAGGCCCACCAAGGCGACGAUCCGUAGCUGGUCUGAGAGGACGGUCGGCCACACUGGGACGGAGACACGGCCGAGACUCCGACGGGUGGCAGCAGUGGGGAAUCUUGCGCAAUGGGCGAAAGCCUGACGCAGCGACGCCGCGUGAGGGAAGAAGGCUUUCGGGUUGUAAACCUCUUUCAGGAGGGACGAAGCUACUCGGGUGAAUAGCCCAGAGGGUGACGGUACCUCCAGAAGAAGCCCCGGCUAACUACGUGCCAGCCGCCGCCGUAA
rnacentral:rRNA from 1 species